GUGCUCCCCCCUGUGUGGAUUAAACUGUUUAUUUUGCUUUGGUACGAAAAGAAUGUGUGUGUGGGCGAACAGCGUGAUGCUACCUGUUGUGAAAGGCUUUGUGUGUGUGAGGUUGUGUGUGUGCGUGCAUGUGUAUUCUGUACCUCCAGCCCUUCCUCAACGUGCCGCUCCAUUUUGCCGUGAACUUUACCCCCAAACCACAUUGUGUUAUACAUUAAAACUUUUGCGCCGCCUAAAUUAUCAAUGACCUAAACAUUGAUAAUUAGAAAAAACUUGUAUUAUUUAUUUUUAUCAGCUAAAGCAUAACUACUAAGUAAAUAAGCAAAACAGGGAGUCAACACAUUAGUUUAUUCAUUGAUGCCGAAAACCUGAACAGCUCACCGCAUCUUUACACCCAGAGAGCUGACAGUUGUGGGCCGCUGCAGUGUUGAUCCUGCUCUAUUUUGUUGUAGUGAAUGUAGGUAGGUGUGUGUUUGUGUGUGUAAACAGGCGCCUUAUUCUGUCAGAAGGGAUCUCUGCAGGCGGGCGGGCCUCGCUCUCUUUCUCUCUCAUUUUUCUCUCUCACACACACACACACACACACAGUCUUAAAGGCUUCUUCCCGGUUGCAUGUGUGUCGUUCUCUCGACUAUAUGGAACAUGCGGCCUCUAAUUGGAGACCCAGCUCCUGUUUUCUCCUGCGUCCCUUCCUGAGCAGCUGUAUUUAUGUUUUUGCUGCCGUGACCCAGAUACCUCCAGCACACCCCCCAGAUGGAUUGCUGUGGCUGGUUAAGAGGACAAUUUGUCCCCCAUAAGAACGGAUAGCUUGUCACCUGCUGGCUCUAGCUAUGGUAUCAUUUGAAUAAAAUCUAAAUAAAAGCAGCUCAGGUUUCUCAUUUCUCUUUUUUUCUCUGUCUUGGUUACCAAAAGAGGCAGAAAACUGUCAGAGAAAACAACCAGAGUCAAGUGCGACCGCUUUCCCACACUGCCUCGUGUGUGCAGAGUGGAGGUGGUGUGCGUUGGGGCGAGGGGCACUCGGACAGAAACGCUCUUUGCCACUGGCGUCGCCAUGGAGACGAGAGGGAUCCUCUUAUUGACCCCCCCACCCCACUGGCUGCUUGCAUUUCCCUGCUGUUUGCCAUUGAGGCUGUCGCAGGGGGAACUGCUUAUUUGAUGGAUAGGUGUGUGGUCCGGCCUGGGUUGUUGGUUUGAUUCCUGGACACUGUCAAAUUGUGUAAAAAAACAAACAAAAAAACUCUCGCUUCCUGUUUUCCUUCCAACGUUGCUGUGGCUUUCUGGAAAAACUUAAAAUACAGAGUUUGGUGCAAAGUGUGCGAGUGCAUUAACGCACAAGUGCGUCGUAGAGAUGCAGACACACACACACACACACAGCAGAGCAGAUCCAGAGUCCGCUCCCACGAGGGUGUGCACUUCGCCCUCGUUCGCACUCAUUUUCAGACUUGUUUCACUGAGACACACCCACUUUGUUUUGUAGGACACACACACACAGAGAAGAAAAAGAGAGAGAGCAGCGUGGAACUCUGUCCCUGACAAGACACACAGCGAGAGUCAGGAAACACCACUUUCUCAUUUGGACGAUGGCAUAAGACAGGACAAAGUAACAUGGAAAACACGUGCUGAGGCCAAAUUCUGGAGAAUUAGUGAGGACUUGACUCGCAAAUCUUUAUGAGGGUAAAGCUGGGAGGAGUGGAACAGAAAAUACACGGCAGCAGCGUGGACGGAGGGAGAGGCGCAAAGGAUGACAUCACUGUCACCCGUGGGAGCCAGGCGGCUACCAUUCAUGCCAGGGGUGUGUGUCACUUCCUGGGAGAGAAUAGAACAGGAAGCCGGAGUGAGAGCCGACAACAAGCGCUCGCCUCACCUCGACAAGGGAGCCUUUCUCCCAUCAGAGCAAAAAGGAGUUUCUGUAUGUGUGUGUGUCUGUGUGUAUAUUUGUACAGCUAUCUUUAUGGGAACAACUUGAGUUGUUAGACCCUGAGACUCUUUCCAUAUUUGGAAAGUGGGAACCUGUGGGACCAACCGUU